rnacentral:rRNA from 1 species
AUGGCAACAUCACAAGUGACGCAGGCGAAACAACACGCGGUUGUUGUCCUGCCAGUCGCCGACGCCACUGAGGGAGGACUUGUGGAUUCUGCUGGGCGGCGCCAGGAAUCGCAGAACACUAGGCUGGAAAUCGACAUUGGCGAGAACAGGACAAUGGUCAUUGAGAUCACCCUUACAGGGAAACUAGCUCUGCAGUGCCCUGCGGGUACCACGCCCCCGGCGGCGGACGCAGCAGCAGAACAGGCAGUUGAAAACCAGGAGUACAUGGACCAGAUGCGCGGAUGGCUGAUGACUGUGGGCACCCUGUUCAUCGGCAUGUCGUUUCAGGCGGCGUUGCAGCCGCCAAGCUGGAUGCCCAAGGAUUGGUACAUGGUGCUGAGGAAGAAUAAUUCUAUCCGUAUUCCCUGGUCCCAUCUUUCUCCUGCAGAAAUGGCGGCGCCAGAUAACAUCUCAAAGAAAGAAGCUAUUCACGCACUCAACUACGUGCUCACUAACACGACCACUUUCGCGAUAUCGCUAGCACUAGUGUCAGCACUGGUGAUAAUGAAAAGGUCGCCACCCACACGUUUCAUAUACAUGGUAAAGGUGAUGGUGGGGCUCCUCUGCUUCUUUGUCGCCUGGAGCUUCGCCAUCGGUAACGGGUACGAUCCAGCCGCUUCCUGGGUGGUCGUUGCUUUCCUCGUGAUGUACGGCUUUAGUACGCUUUUUGCGUUCUUCACCGUGAUGUGGCUUCCCUACCACCUGAUCAGGCCGGCUUUGGAACGGCUUAAGCUUUUGCCCAAGGCUGCUGCCCACGUAAGCUAG